UACGUAGGGUGCAAGCGUUGUCCGGAAUUAUUGGGCGUAAAGAGCUCGUAGGCGGUUUGUCGCGUCUGCUGUGAAAACCCGAGGCUCAACCUCGGGCCUGCAGUGGGUACGGGCAGACUAGAGUGCGGUAGGGGAGAUUGGAAUUCCUGGUGUAGCGGUGGAAUGCGCAGAUAUCGGGAGGAACACCGGUGGCGAAGGCGGUUCUCUGGAGCGCAACUGACGCUGAGACGCGAAAGCGUGGGGAGCAAACAGG
rnacentral:rRNA from 1 species